rnacentral:tRNA from 1 species
GGCCGAUUGACGAAAUUGGAAAACGUAAGGGACUUAAAAUCCCUCGGUGUUACACCUUCUGGGUUCGAGUCCCAGAUCGGCCA